GUACUAAUCUCUGUGCAUUUGUCGCCCCUGAAUCAUCUCUUUCCAAUAAUCUAAUAGUCCCUUUUUUCACUUCUCAUCAUUCUCGAAUCUCAAUAAACAGUCAAAUAUUGACUGCAAUUAUCUCAAAAAAUCCCCAAGUUUUCACUAAUCAAUCCCUAUAACCCCAUGAAAAUGUCUCUCAAAUUCUCCUUUUCUCUCAUUGUAUUGUCUCUAAUCUCUGUCCUCUGUGCAGCCGGAGACAGCAGCGUCGCCCGCGGCGGCGAUGACGUCGGAGGAGCGACGGUGGAGUUAUGGUGUGUGGCAAAGAACAACGCUGAUGAUGCUGCUCUACAGUCCGCUAUAGAUUGGGCUUGUGGGCCAGGUGGUGCUAGUUGUGGGCCUAUUCAGACCGGUGGGCCGUGCUACGACGCUUCCGAUAUCCUGCGAACUGCGUCGUUUGCCUUCAAUGAUUACUUCCUUAAACAUGGCAUGACCGAUGAUAGCUGUAAUUUCGCAAACUCAGCUGCUCUCACUUCUCUUAAUCCCAGUCAUAAUGGUUGUAAAUUUCCAUCGAGCUUGAGUAGGAGUAGUGGAAGCUUUAAUGGAUCAAUAACUACAGGGUUAGGUUCAGCUUCUGAAGAUAUAAGUAGCAGCACUCCUACACUCAGUAGUUGGAUUUUCAACUUGAUGGCUAUUAAUCUGUUGUCUGCAACUCUACUAAUUUUGUGAGGUCAUACAAGUUUUAACUCCAUUGUAUGUACUGUAGAGCAUAAACAAGUUUUUCGUAGAGAAGUUCAGAAGCUCCAGGUAGCUGAUGUUGUUCCACGGGCUCUCCAGCAUUAAACAAUUGCACAUGUUUCUGGCUCCUCAUCAUCAGCUCCUCGAUCUGGACGCUCGUCAAGAUCUAUAUCCAUUACAGGAAUA